AUCUCUUCAUCGUCAUCGCUUCAUCAUUGAACAAGUUGCACUAGUUUCAUAGUGAGUUUCCAUGACAUGUAAGAUUUAUAACGGGAAUGGGAAACAUACAGACAGUGAGGAGAGUACAAGUCAACCUCAUGCUUCUGAGGAGGCUUUGGAACAUCUUGGUGUAUUACAGAGGGCAUUGGAGCUGGGCCCAUUAGGCCCAUAGACCCAGACUGUGGAUAUCUUCUCAGAUACAGAAUGCAGAGUUGGAAUAAACAUUCUUGGCCACUGAAAAAUCCCCACAUUUCCUC